CGGUGUUUAACUGGCGUGAUGUGGGACGUCCUACCGGUGGGCUUAGCCUCGCGAGGGGCGGCCCAACUAAUAUCCCGUCGCGGUGCUCUUUACUGAGUGUCGAGUCGGGCCGGUACGUUUACUUUGAACAAAUUAGAGUGCUUAAAGCAGGCUAUCCUCGCCUGAAUACUGCGUGCAUGGAAUAAUGGAAUAGGACCUCGGUUCUAUUUUGUUGGUUUUCGGAACCCCGAGGUAAUGAUUAAUAGGGACAGAUGGGGGCAUUCGUAUUGCGACGUUAGAGGUGAAAUUCUUGGAUCGUCGCAAGACGGACAGAAGCGAAAGCAUUUGCCAAAAAUGUUUUCAUUAAUCAAGAACGAAAGUUAGAGGUUCGAAGGCGAUCAGAUACCGCCCUAGUUCUAACCAUAAACGAUGCCAGCUAGCGAUCCGCCGAAGUUCCUCCGAUGACUCGGCGGGCAGCUUCCGGGAAACCAAAGCUUUUGGGUUCCGGGGGAAGUAUGGUUGCAAAGCUGAAACUUAAAGGAAUUGACGGAAGGGCACCACCAGGAGUGGAGCCUGCGGCUUAAUUUGACUCAACACGGGAAACCUCACCAGGCCCAGACACCGGAAGGAUUGACAGAUUGAUAGCUCUUUCUUGAUUCGGUGGGUGGUGGUGCAUGGCCGUUCUUAGUUGGUGGAGCGAUUUGUCUGGUUAAUUCCGAUAACGAACGAGACUCUAGCCUGCUAAAUAGGCGUACCUUAUGGUAUCGCGAAGGCCCCCGGCUUCGGCCGGCGGGUUUUUACUACCAACGUACAAACAAAUCUUCUUAGAGGGACAGGCGG
rnacentral:rRNA from 1 species